rnacentral:rRNA from 1 species
CCUACGGGAGGCAGCAGUGGGGGAUAUUGCACAAUGGGGGGAACCCUGAUGCAGCGACGCCGCGUGGGUGAAGAAGCGCCUCGGCGCGUAAAGCCCUGUCAGCAGGGAAGAAAAGGACGGUACCUGAAGAAGAAGCCCCGGCUAACUACGUGCCAGCAGCCGCGGUAAUACGUAGGGGGCAAGCGUUAUCCGGAUUUACUGGGUGUAAAGGGGGCGCAGACGGCGGUGCAAGCCAGGAGUGAAAGCCCGGGGCCCAACCCCGGGACUGCUCUUGGAACUGCGUGGCUAGAGUGCAGGAGGGGCAGGCGGAAUUCCUGGUGUAGCGGUGAAAUGCGUAGAUAUCAGGAGGAACACCGGUGGCGAAGGCGGCCUGCUGGACUGCAACUGACGUUGAGGCCCGAAAGCGUGGGGAGCAAACAGGAUUAGAUACCCCAGUAGUC